CAAACUUAAUCGAACAGCAUUAUGAAAAUAAAAAUAAAAAACAGUUGACAAGCUGCAUAUGCAUACAAGACAAAUAAAAGUUGUUGCAGCUGAAUAGAUUUAACUGGUCAUAAUGCACAAGCCUCACAAAUCUUUUAUAACACACGUAUGUAUAAUAACAUAAUAUGGUAGAUCACUACUUUAUGGCUCCACCAAAAUCUUUCCUGUCGCAUGUCCGUCGAUACUCCUGCUCCAAGCAUCUUCAGCCUUGCUCAGAGGAAAUUUGGAGUCAAUCACUGUUUUGAGCUUCCCUUCCUUCACAAGCUUAACAAGCAAUUCCAGGUUUUCCUUAUUGGCAUUUACAAGAAAUGGCACCAACUGCUUCUUUGAGAAGGUUAAUUUCUUUACUGCAAAGGUCAACAUGGAGCUAGCUCCAGGAGUUAGAUCGAUCACCUUUCCACUUGAACUUAAAUUAGGCUCAAAGGUAGACCAAGGGAUGCCUGUUGUGCAGUUAAUCACUGCAUCAUAUUUUUGGCCUGAUGGACUCUUAAGAGCAGCUCCCUCUGGAGUCUUGUAAUCAAGAAUCUCAUCUGCUCCUAAGCUCUUCACAAAAUCAAUGUUGCGGGCUCCACAGGUGGCAGUAACAUGGGCGUUACCAAGUUUUGCCAAUUGAACAGCAUAGUGACCUACACCACCCGAAGCAGCCGUAACUAGAAUGUUCUUCCGGGGUCCAGUUCCAUCAAGCUUAACCUCAGCAGGAUUGACGAGGGCCUGAAGAGCUGUAAGACCUGCGAUAACAAGACCUGCACCUUCUGCAGCUGAUACUUCAGCGGGUCUUGAAACAGUCAAACUAUCCUUAGGUACCACAUAUUCAGCCAAUCCACCUCCACUCUUGGUACUGAGCAUAGCCACAACCUUGUCACCAGCCUUGAAACUUUUUACAUUAGAUCCUACCUCAACAACCUCUCCCGCCACGUCGGUAGUAGGAAUAAAAGGAAACUUGGAAGGAAGAAAUGGACGAAGCAUGCCCUUCUGAAUUUUCGAGUCAAGAGGAUUUAUGCUUGUAGCCUCCACUUUUACCAAGACUUCAUCCUUAUUCGGAGUAGGGACAGGAACUUCCACAUGCUUCAAGGCAGCAGCUCCACCGCCAUAAGAGUGGUAUUGAACAGCAUGCAUAAUCUUCCCAGACAUAUCAGAUUUCCCAAUUUCAAUUCUCUUUGAAGUUGGAGCAAA
rnacentral:misc_RNA from 1 species